GGUCCCAUCGUCUAACGGUUAGGACACCAGAUUCUCAAUCUGGCAAUGCGGGUUCGAUUCCCGCUGGGAUCACCA
rnacentral:tRNA from 1 species